AUUAUCAUUCCUUAUUAUGCAUUUCUUAAGUUUAAUUUUGCAAUCAGGAUAUUCUUAGAAGAACUUUCAUACAUGUAUUAAAAUUGAUUUUUAAUUGAAUUUUAAAUAUAAAUAAUAAUAAUUUGAACAAUGAAAAAUAAUAUAAAGUUUUUUUUAUUUUUUUUUGUAAUGUGUUUUUUAUAAAUAUUAAAAUGAUGUUUUUGUUUUUUGUUUUAUAUAUUUGAGGGCUUUAUGGGCCUUUUAAGGUAUUGUUUCGUUAUGGGCCCAUGGGGAGGGCAUCCUUUUGGACCUUUUCCUCUUUAAAGAUGAGACACUCAAGAUGGAGCAGAUUGCAGUAAUCUGGAGAGAAACCUUUGCAGAUGAGAUGACAGGGCGGCGACAAGCGUUUUUAGGGUUUCUGCCGCUGCUUUUCACUUACAACAAUAAAUAGACAGGUGGGUGGACAUUGUUUGCAGAGACAAGUGGAUGGUUUUAAAAUUUAGUUAAAAUAUAAUGGGCAGCAAAGGUUACUCUUCUGGCUUUCAUAGUUAUAACAUCUUGAUCAAUGGCCAUUGUAAGAGUAGAAGGAUCCAUGAAGCAAUAACUCUCUUUGCUAAAAUGUGUGAUAAAACAUUGACUCCUGGUAUUUCACUCUUACAGUGCCCAUUGAUUAAGAUGGUAUAAUGUUGUUAUCAAGGGAUUUCUUCUCAAAAACUGCACAUCACACAUUGUACAAGAUCUCAACGACAAGUUUGAUAGAAGAUCUUUGUGCAUUCAUCCAUGGUAAGCAUGCUAAUGGAUCUGGUAUCCGAUGGCAAAAUUAUAAUGUGUUUCUAUGAGGAGAUUCUCGAAAUGGGAAUUUCAAUUGAAGUAUCAUUUUCAGCUCAGCAAUGCUGUGGAGGUCUUCCUUCAAAAUAGUUAGGCUGCAAUAACUCAUGUAAGUUAUUGUUACCCAAUUUGUCCACCUUAAGAACGGUAGAAUCUACCAUUUCCUCUUCAUAUGGUGAUGUGUCUUGGCUCUAGGUCAUGCUGUAGGUUCUACUGUAUAUAUGGUAAAAAGUGAUAAGUGAUUAUUGUUCUUGCUGGUUGUUCCUGAUAAAUUUACAUGUUUGAGUAAUCCAAGGGUUUAUUUUUGGGGCUACUUUUGUUGAAUUUAAAAGAACACAACCUCCGCUAAUUCUCUACACUUCUCCUUCGAUCAUGAGCUCUUGGUUUAUAACUCGUUUAAGGUACUAAGGUUGAUGAUUUAAUGAUGACAUUUGAUUCUGUUCAUUGGGAA